GCAGUCGUGGCCGAGUGGUUAAGGCGAUGGACUAGGAAUCCAUUGAUGUCUCCCCGCACAGGUUCGAAUCCUGUCGACUGCG
rnacentral:tRNA from 1 species